rnacentral:rRNA from 1 species
GGGGCGAUCAUACCAGCUAAAUGGCCCCGG